AGAGUUUGAUCAUGGCUCAGAUUGAACGCUGGCGGCAGGCCUAACACAUGCAAGUCGAGCGGAUGAAGGGAGCUUGCUCCUGGAUUCAGCGGCGGACGGGUGAGUAAUGCCUAGGAAUCUGCCUGGUAGUGGGGGAUAACGUCCGGAAACGGGCGCUAAUACCGCAUACGUCCUGAGGGAGAAAGUGGGGGAUCUUCGGACCUCACGCUAUCAGAUGAGCCUAGGUCGGAUUAGCUAGUUGGUGGGGUAAAGGCCUACCAAGGCGACGAUCCGUAACUGGUCUGAGAGGAUGAUCAGUCACACUGGAACUGAGACACGGUCCAGGCUCCUACGGGAGGCAGCAGUGGGGAAUAUUGGACAAUGGGCGAAAGCCUGAUCCAGCCAUGCCGCGUGUGUGAAGAAGGUCUCCGGAUUGUAAAGCACUUUAAGUUGGGAGGAAGGGCAGUAAGUUAAUACCUUGCUGUUUUGACGUUACCAACAGAAUAAGCACCGGCUAACUUCGUGCCAGCAGCCGCGGUAAUACGAAGGGUGCAAGCGUUAAUCGGAAUUACUGGGCGUAAAGCGCGCGUAGGUGGUUCAGCAAGUUGGAUGUGAAAUCCCCGGGCUCAACCUGGGAACUGCAUCCAAAACUACUGAGCUAGAGUACGGUAGAGGGUGGUGGAAUUUCCUGUGUAGCGGUGAAAUGCGUAGAUAUAGGAAGGAACACCAGUGGCGAAGGCGACCACCUGGACUGAUACUGACACUGAGGUGCGAAAGCGUGGGGAGCAGACAGGAUUAGAUACCCUGGUAGUCCACGCCGUAAACGAUGUCGACUAGCCGUUGGGAUCCUUGAGAUCUUAGUGGCGCAGCUAACGCGAUAAGUCGACCGCCUGGGGAGUACGGCCGCAAGGUUAAAACUCAAAUGAAUUGACGGGGGCCCGCACAAGCGGUGGAGCAUGUGGUUUAAUUCGAAGCAACGCGAAGAACCUUACCUGGCCUUGACAUGCUGAGAACUUUCCAGAGAUGGAUUGGUGCCUUCGGGAACUCAGACACAGGUGCUGCAUGGCUGUCGUCAGCUCGUGUCGUGAGAUGUUGGGUUUAGUCCCGUAACGAGCGCAACCCUUGUCCUUAGUUACCAGCACCUCGGGUGGGCACUCUAAGGAGACUGCCGGUGACAAACCGGAGGAAGGUGGGGAUGACGUCAAGUCAUCAUGGCCCCUUACGGCCAGGGCUACACACGUGCUACAAUGGUCGGUACAAAGGGUUGCCAAGCCGCGAGGUGGAGCUAAUCCCAUAAAACCGAUCGUAGUCCGGAUCGCAGUCUGCAACUCGACUGCGUGAAGUCGGAAUCGCUAGUAAUCGUGAAUCAGAAUGUCACGGUGAAUACGUUCCCGGGCCUUGUACACACCGCCCGUCACACCAUGGGAGUGGGUUGCUCCAGAAGUAGCUAGUCUAACCGCAAGGGGGACGGUUACCACGGAGUGAUUCAUGACUGGGGUGAAGUCGUAACAAGGUA
rnacentral:rRNA from 1 species